GACGAACGCUGGCGGCGUGCCUAAUACAUGCAAGUAGAACGCUGAAGAGAGGAGCUUGCUCUUCUUGGAUGAGUUGCGAACGGGUGAGUAACGCGUAGGUAACCUGCCUUGUAGCGGGGGAUAACUAUUGGAAACGAUAGCUAAUACCGCAUAACAAUGGAUGACACAUGUCAUUUAUUUGAAAGGGGCAAUUGCUCCACUACAAGAUGGACCUGCGUUGUAUUAGCUAGUAGGUGGGGUAAUGGCUCACCUAGGGGACGAUACAUAGCCGACCUGAGAGGGGGAGCGGCCACGCUGGGGAGGGGACACGGCCAAGACGCCUACGGGAGGCGGCAGUAGGGAAUCUUCGGCGAAGGGGGCAACCCUGACCGAGCAACGCCGCGUGAGUGAAGAAGGUUGUCGGAUCGUAAAGCUCUGUUGUAAGUGAAGAACGGGUGUGAGAGUGGAAAGUUCACACUGUGACGGUAGCUUACCAGAAAGGGACGGCUAACUACGUG
rnacentral:rRNA from 1 species